rfam:Aedes albopictus isolate Foshan contig86810, whole genome shotgun sequence.
UGCCCAGCAACUCCUAUCCCUACCUCCACGCAGUACCGGCCGGAAACUAUGAGCAACCUUAGGGAAGAUCGGGUAACCAACCCCGGUGGGAACUUUGGUCGUAGGCUGACAGGGAAGG